UACGGGGGGGGCAAGCGUUGUUCGGAAUUACUGGGCGUAAAGGGCUCGUAGGCGGCCAACUAAGUCAGACGUGAAAUCCCUCGGCUUAACCGGGGAACUGCGUCUGAUACUGGAUGGCUUGAAUCCGGGAGAGGGGUGCGGAAUUCCAGGUGUAGCGGUGAAAUGCGUAGAUAUCUGGAGGAACACCGGUGGCGAAGGCGGCAUCCUGGACCGGCAUUGACGCUGAGGAGCGAAAGCCAGGGGAGCAAACGGG
rnacentral:rRNA from 1 species